UCUCAGCAGCCAUGACACCCUUCAGAGACACCAGCAAAGAGAGGAGCCUCUCAUACUUCUGGGAUAGGCUCUUGGUGAGGGAAGUUUAUGUAAUUUUUAUGCCUAAUCACUAGGAGAAAAUAAACACCCUCUUUCCCAUUAACCUUGCAAACCCAAAUCUUCAAAGUAAAGAAGAACCUGUAGCCAGCUUUGGAUUUGCCUUUUAUUCUUCUCACUUUCUAGUAAGAGUGCUGUGCAGGGCUUUCAACAAGAAAAGCCCAAAGGAGUCUACUUGCUUUUGAAGCCACCCCUCUUGUCUGCCUCAUUCAUUUCAAACAGAGGUACUUCUCAGAGAGAUGAAGGCCUGUGUACAAACAACAAUGCCCACUGCAUUCUCUUGCCAUCUGUGAUGUGAUGGCUUUUGAUUCCACACACAAGCUGCCUUGUUUCAGAAGCUGAUGGAUGGUUCUACUGAAUGAAGGAGGCAACAAGAGCAAACGAACAGGGCUCCUGGUAAGGCGAGGACUUCAAGAGAAUGGGCUUGAAAGCACUUAAAAUGAAAGCAGCCACGGUGGAUCUCAUGAACUCUUGGCCUCUCCCUACUGGACUCCUGGAGCUCUGGCUUGCUGCUGAUUCUGUCACUGAGCUUGUUACCUAGCAAUGGGGUCACUCCCUGACACGCACAGAUCACAUGAUGUCAUCAGGAAUCCCAUAUGCUGUGGUGUCCUUGUGGGUCAAGAGAGGCCCAGUAUUUCUGGCCUCACAGGAUGAUUGUCAUGUAUGUUUGGAGGAUCUAACAUGUACAUGACAUUAAUAUAGACCACACUGUAAACAUGUGACAUGUUGAA